CCUACGGGAGGCAGCAGUGGGGAAUAUUGGGCAAUGGGCGCAAGCCUGACCCAGCAACGCCGCGUGAAGGAAGAAGGCCCUCGGGUCGUAAACUUCUUUUGUCAGGGACGAAGCAAGCGACGGUACAUGACGAAUAAGCCACGGCUAACUACGGGCCAGCAGCCGCGGUACUACGUAGGUGGCAAGCGUCAUCCGGAUUUAUUGGGUGUAAAGGGCGUGUAGGCGGGAAUGCAAGUCAGAUGUGAAAACUAUGGGCUCAACCCAUAGCCUGCAUUUGAAACUGUAUUUCUGGAGUGCUGGAGGGGCAAUCGGAAUUCCGGGUGUAGCGGUGAAAUGCGUAGAUAUACGGAGGAACACCAGUGGCGAAGGCGGAUUGCUGGACAGUAACUGACGCUGAGGCGCGAAAGCGUGGGGAGCAAACAGGAUUAGAUACCCUGGUAGUC
rnacentral:rRNA from 1 species